UACGUAGGGUGCAAGCGUUGUCCGGAAUUAUUGGGCGUAAAGAGCUCGUAGGCGGUUUGUCGCGUCUGCUGUGAAAACGCGAGGCUCAACCUCGCGCCUGCAGUGGGUACGGGCAGACUAGAGUGCGGUAGGGGAGAUUGGAAUUCCUGGUGUAGCGGUGGAAUGCGCAGAUAUCAGGAGGACACCGAUGGCGAAGGCAGAUCUCUGGGCCGUAACUGACGCUGAGGAGCGAAAGCGUGGGGAGCGAACAGG
rnacentral:rRNA from 1 species